CCCCCCCCCUUCCCCGCUCCCCUCACGGGCGCUCCGCACCUGCGGAGCCGCGCGCGGCCGCGAGCGCGAGCUUCUCCCGCCUUCUGGCCCCGCCCCGCCCCGCCCCGCCCCGCGUGAGGGGCAGGUGCGCGCCCCGGGCCCGGCGUGAGGGGCGGCCGCGGCGCCCCGAGGGAGCCGCGCCGUGAGGGGAGACCGGCAGAGACCCUGCUCCGCCAGGCACAGGGACAUCUCCCGACACUGCUCCCCUGAAAGAGCGGCCCCGCAGCUGGAGUGUGGAGGGCAGCCUGAGCGGCGUGAAGCGCGCCCGGCUCCUCUCCGCUCCGUGCGCCUGAUCCGGACAAGGACGUGGCGUGUCACCCUCCUGCCUGGGUUCUGCCCCAAAACACCCGCUCCCGUGAAUGCUCAUAGCCCCUCGUGCAGUGAUGAGCAUCCCGCCUGCGCUCUCAGCAAAGAUCCAGGGGACCAACAUCUAUCUCAUCAAGACUUGUCUUUGGAAAGGCAGAGACUGAAAAUCUCAACAUCUUGUCAGAGGUGCCAUUUAUCACUCUGGAUGAGUUGAUUGGCAUCCUCAGUCAUAACUGAGCUCUGCAAGUGAACAAGAGUAGAACACCUUCAAUUCUUCUCUUCGUGUCCCCAAAUCCCUAGGUUUUGAAGCCUGCUCACCCCGAUCAAGCCCGUCUGGAUCUCACCGACAUGAAGGAGCUCUCCCUAUGCCUUUCCAGCUGGUCAGUGCAGUACUUCUUGGAGUGACUUCCCAGUGAUGCUAACAGCUUUCCCUGGCACCCCCCAAGCAGAUUGUGGAAGACCAGAGCAGCAAGUGCCUUCCUUCCAACCAGCUCCAGUGGAAUGAUUUUCCCGUAGGAAUUAACCUCAGAAGAAUAGCCCCAGUCCCUCCAGCCAAAGUGCCUCAUUUCCAGGAAAGCCUAUGUCUUGCAUGCCUUUUAAAAAUAAAUAAAUAAAUAAAUAAAUAAAUCCCCAAAUCAA